rfam:Triticum aestivum genome assembly, contig: Triticum_aestivum_CS42_TGACv1_scaffold_033202_1BL
GAAGUACUCCCUCCAUCCCAAAUUUCUUGUCUUAAAUUUGUCUAAAUAUGGAUGUAUCAAGUCAUGUUUUAGUAUUAGAUACAUCCGUAUCUAGACGAAUCUAAGACAAGAUUUUGGUACAGAGGGAGUAGGAU